CAGUCGUACCGACGAGAAAUCAACCUUUCGAGUGCGAACCUGCGGGCGUGCGUGAGUCUUUAACGGGCCUCGCUGUUUGCAAUGUUUGUGCUUUUGGGGUGUACUUUUUCGUAUGGUAGGCCAACGUCAGUUUCGAUCACCGUAAAAUGAUCGGAGGAAUGUAGCUUCGAUCUCGUAUUGAAGUGUUAUAGCCUCUGGUAGAUGCGGUGACUGAAACUGAGG
rnacentral:rRNA from 1 species